rnacentral:misc_RNA from 1 species
AUCUGAGUGUUGCACUUGGCACCCAGGGUCCCAGACUCCAAUAACGGUUUUUGAAAAUACAAACAUCUCUGAUCAAUGUAAAGCCUGGCAUUCACAUUAUCUAGUGCAUUGACCACAACACUCAAAUUCUCCCAGAACGUAUCAUCAAAUACACUUUCUGUUUCAGGGCUUGCGCGGUUUUGCAGUGCUUCAAUGCGAAUGCGAGGAUUGAUCAAAGAAGCAGCGGCAGCAGCAACAGUAGAUUUGGCUUGCCCAAUGUUCCAGUCACGGAAGAGGAAUUGCCUACUGAGAUUACUCUUCUCAAUG